AGUUUUGCGUUGAAGGAGAAGAGUACAUAGAUAUAAAUUUUAAAGAGAGCCAAGGAUAGUGGAAACUUGGUAAAUUAAGCUAUGGAAGGAAGCUCUGGAGCUAUUAGUUGAAAGAAAUUUUUGGAGUAAACUAAUGGGAUUCUUCCCUUAAAGAGAAAUGAGUGGGUUAAUUGUACUAAUAAAUUAACCAAUGUAGGUGGUACCACGGAAGUAUGUCUUUCGUCCUAAGU
rnacentral:ncRNA from 1 species